rnacentral:tRNA from 1 species
UCCCUGGUGGCUCAGAUGGUACAGAAUCCGCCUGCAAUGCAGGAGACCCAGGUUCCAUCUCUGGCUGGGGAA